AGGUAUCUGUAGGUGAACCUGCAGAUGGAUCAUCG
rnacentral:rRNA from 1 species